rnacentral:rRNA from 1 species
GACGAACGCUGGCGGCGUGCCUAAUACAUGCAAGUAGAACGCACAGUUUAUACCGUAGCUUGCUACACCAUAGACUGUGAGUUGCGAACGGGUGAGUAACGCGUAGGUAACCUGCCUGGUAGCGGGGGAUAACUAUUGGAAACGAUAGCUAAUACCGCAUAAUAUUAAUUAUUGCAUGAUAAUUAAUUGAAAGGUGCAAUUGCACCACUACCAGAUGGACCUGCGUUGUAUUAGCUAGUAGGUGAGGUAACGGCUCACCUAGGCGACGAUACAUAGCCGACCUGAGAGGGUGAUCGGCCACACUGGGACUGAGACACGGCCCAGACGCCUACGGGAGGCAGCAGUAGGGAAUCUUCGGCAAUGGACGAGAGUCUGACCGAGCAACGCCGCGUGAGUGAAGAAGGUUUUCGGAUCGUAAAGCUCUGUUGUAAGAGAAGAACGGGUGUGAGAGUGGAAAGUUCACACUGUGACGGUAGCUUACCAGAAAGGGACGGCUAACUACGUG